GAUCCUGGCUCAGGAUGAACGCUAGCUACAGGCUUAACACAUGCAAGUCGAGGGGCAGCAUAGGUCUUAGCUUGCUAAGGUCCGAUGGCGACCGGCGCACGGGUGAGUAACGCGUAUCCAACCUGCCUUACACUCUUGGACGAGCCUUCUGAAAGGGAGAUUAAUACAAGAUGUUAUCAUGGGUAAGCAUUUUCGCAUGAUUAAAGGUUUACCGGUGUAAGAUGGGGAUGCGUUCCAUUAG
rnacentral:rRNA from 1 species